rnacentral:lncRNA from 1 species
UUUUUUUUUUUUUUUUUUUUUAAGACAGAGUCUCACUGUGUUGCCCAGGCUGAAGUGCAGUGGCAUGAUCAUGGCUCACUGCAGCCUCGACCUCCCGGGCUCAAGCGAUUCUCUUGCCACAACCUCCUGAGUGGCUGGGACUACAGGCACAAACCACCAUGGCUGACUAAUGGAAAAAAUAUAUAUUUGUAGACAUGAGGUUUUGCUAUGUUGCCCAGGCUGGGCGUUAUUAUCUUGUCUGUAUCUUUAGAACUCUUACAUAGUGCUUGGCCGUCAAUAAAGUUUGUUCUAGGAAUGAAUUAAGGAAUGACCACCCAACUCUCCUUGCUACUUAUGUAAAGCUGAAGUGAGUUAAUGAAUAUGAAAGAGUAUUUAAAAAAACAUAAUUUAUCUGUUUAUUAGAAACCUCAUUGUAGCUAGCUGCCACAUCAGAAAUAAUUCAGCUAAACCACUUUUAUUAAGGUGUUGAUGUUUUAGAGUUAGCUUUAUGGGUUACGUCUGCCAGGGGCUACUUGUGUUUUUGUAUGUAGGUUUUGAGGAAGCAUAUAUUUCACGAAAAGAGUUUAAUUGAUCCAUAGGUAUUAUGAACAGUAGUGACAAGCAUAAUGUAAAAGGGAUUUUUUGAACAAAACAGGGCUUUCUGGGUUUCUUCAAGCAGGAAAUAAAAAUCUGCCAGUUUGAAUCGUUUCCAAAAAUGCCGCGACUACAGCAUCUUUUCUAAGACUCUUGGAAAAAUGCAAUGCAGUUGUGAUAGGCUAUAUCUUUAACUCACUCUCCAUUUAAAAUGAAGCACAAGAAACUGGAGACAAAUGACCAAGCUAUAUAGAGAUUGCGAGAAUUAGUGAUCAGCGUUGGCUGCAAACCAUGUGAGUUACGCUUUUCUUUUCGGUUUCACGCAGAAACUUCUCUCAUUUCAUUUUAAGUUGCAUCUGCUUUGCACAGUGUGUGUGUGUGUGUGUUUUUUUUUCGCAAAGCACCAUGAAUGAUUUAUGACUUUCUGACGCCACAUCCCACAAGAUUACAUAAGGAACAAUGAAAAACAAGUGAUUGAGCCAAACUUAAAAAAACCCCAAACAUUUCCAAAAUGGAUUUCAUCUUGACUGCAGUC